rnacentral:rRNA from 1 species
AUUGAACGCUGGCGGCAGGCUUAACACAUGCAAGUCGAACGAGUGGCGGACGGGUGAGUAAUGCUUGGGAAUCUAGCUUAUGGAGGGGGAUAACUACGGGAAACUGUAGCUAAUACCGCGUACCAUAGGAUGAGCCCAAGUGGGAUUAGGUGGUUGGGGAGGUAAAGGCUAACCAAGCCGACGAUCUCUAGCUGGUCUGAGAGGAUGACCAGCGACCCGGAGACUGAGACACGGCCCAGGUUCCGACGGGAGGCAGCAGUUGGGAAUAUGUCGCAUUGGGGGCAACCUGACGCAGCCAUGCCGCGUGAAUGAAGAAGGCCUUCUGGUUGUAAAGUUCUUUCGGUAGCGAGGCGUUAACUACAGAAGAAGCACCGGCUAACUCCGUGCCAGCAGCCGCGGUAAUUG